AUCGUAUGCGCCGCGUUCGGUGCUCGCAUGCGCAUUCCGCGCACGCAGUUAAACGGGAAACAGGAGGCGGAAGUCCGCCCGGCCUGUGCUGUCCCCGCAACGGUACGCCGCCCGCGCGCCGCGGUUCCCCCCGCACGCGCCCAGGCCGCCCGCGAUGCCACUGCCCUUCAGCGGGCGGGAAGGCUGCGGCCUGGCAAGCGGCCAGCCCGGAUACCGGCCGACGCAAGGGGCGAGCCC
rnacentral:ncRNA from 1 species